AAUCUGGGGAGCCGAGCGCGCGGCAGCGAGCGUCAUGCUAGACAGCGGCCCGCGCGCCUUCUCCUCGGCGUCGGCCGCCGCCGCCUCCCAGAACCUCCUCGUGCCCUCGCGUGCCAGGCCCGUGGUGGCCGGGAUCCGCGGUUCACAGAAUGUCCGCCUCGGCCCCUGCUGCGGAGGGAGAGGGAACCCCCGCCCAGCCCGCAUCCGAGAAAGAACCCGAAAUGCCUGGUCCCAGAGAGGAGAGCGAGGAGGAAGAGGACGAGGACGACGACGAGGAGGAAGAGGAGGAAAAAGAAAAGAGUCUCAUCGUGGAAGGCAAGAGGGAAAAGAAGAAAGUAGAGAGGUUGACAAUGCAGGUCUCUUCCUUACAGAGAGAGCCAUUUACAAUUGCACAAGGAAAGGGGCAGAAACUUUGUGAAAUUGAGAGGAUACAUUUUUUUCUAAGUAAGAAGAAAACUGAUGAACUUAGGAAUCUACACAAACUGCUUUACAACAGGCCAGGCACUGUGUCCUCAUUAAAGAAGAAUGUGGGUCAGUUCAGUGGCUUUCCGUUUGAAAAAGGAAGUGUCCAGUAUAAAAAGAAGGAAGAAAUGUUGAAAAAGUUUAGAAAUGCCAUGUUAAAGAGCAUCUGUGAGGUUCUUGAUUUGGAGAGAUCAGGUGUAAAUAGUGAAUUAGUGAAGAGGAUCUUGAAUUUCUUAAUGCAUCCAAAGCCUUCUGGCAAACCAUUGCCAAAAUCUAAAAAAACUUCUAGCAAAGGCAGUAAAAAGGAACCGAACAGUUCUGGAAUGGCAAGGAAGGCUAAGUGAACCAAAUGUCCUGAAAUUCUGUCAGAUGAAUCUAGUAGUGAUGAAGAUGAAAAGAAAAACAAGGAAGAGUCUUCAGAUGAUGAAGGUAAAGAAAGUGAAGAGGAGCCACCAAAAAAGACAGCCAAAAGAGAAAAACCUAAACAGAAAGCUACUUCUAAAAGUAAAAAAUCUGUGAAAAGUGCCAAUGUUAAGAAGGCAGAUGGCAGCACCACCAAGAAUCAAAACAGUUCCAAAAAAGAAAGUGAGUCUGAGGAUAGUUCAGAUGAUGAACCUUUAAUUAAAAAGUUGAAGAAACCCCCUACAGAUGAAGAAUUAAGGGAAACAAUAAAGAAACUACUGGCCAGUGCUAACUUGGAAGAAGUCACAAUGAAACAGAUUUGCAAAAAGGUCUAUGAAAAUUAUCCUACUUAUGAUUUAACUGAAAGAAAAGAUUUCAUAAAAACAGCUAAUGUAAAAGAGCUAAUUUCUUGAGAUAGAGGACAGAGAAGAUGACUCGUUCCCAUAGAUUCAAAGAUCUGAUUUAUACCAUUAUACCAGCAAAGAGAAUGUAUUUCCUUUUCUAAAUCCUUGUUAAGCAACAUUAGAACUUA